rnacentral:lncRNA from 1 species
AUAUCACGACAACAAACAGUUACUAUGCAGUUUCGGUAAACCCUUCUAGCUAUAAUAGAUUCCCCAACCGAUGUGGACACUUCAAAUGGCUUAACUAACAGUUCGGGUAUUCUUUCAAACUUUCCAGCAAUCAAUGGAGUAACAUAAGAUAAUGUAGAACCGGGAUCAAUUAAGGCAUAUAAAUCGAAUGAAAAGAUAGACAAUGUAUCCGUAACCACAU